GCAGAAGGAUCAUUAGUGAAGAUUUGGGCAGGCCAUACGGACGCCAAAAAAGUGUCCCUGGCCGCCUACACCCACUAUACAUCCACAAACCCGUGUGCACUGUCUUGGAGAAAGGCUUCUUGAGAAGUUUUGUGGCCUCUCUUGGGGUCUUUCUUCGCUACAAACUCGAAUGGUUAGUAUGAACGUGGAACUUGGUUGGACCGUCACUGGCCAACAAACUAUACACAACUUUCGACAACGGAUCUCUUGGUUCCCCCA
rnacentral:misc_RNA from 1 species